GGCGGCAUAGCCAAGUGGUAAGGCAGAGGACUGCAAAUCCUUUAUCCCCAGUUCAAAUCCGGGUGUCGCCU
rnacentral:tRNA from 9 species